AGAGUUUGAUCAUGGCUCAGAGUGAACGCUGGCGGCGUGCUUAACACAUGCAAGUCGAGCGAAUUUUGGCAGCACACCGCCAGAGUUAGCGGCAGACGGGUGAGUAAUACUUGGGUAAUCUACCCUAGAGUGGGAAACAACCUGCCGAAAGGCGGGCUAAUGUCCCAUAAGACCACAGGAUGGCAUCAUCCAGGGGUCAAACUCCGCAAGGGGCGCUUUUGGAGGAACCCGAGUCCUAUCAUGGUAGUUGGUGAGGUAACGGCUCACCAAGCCUUUGACGGGUAGCCGGCCUGAAAGGGUGAUCGGCCACACUGGCACUGAGACACGGGCCAGACUCCUACGGGAGGCAGCAGUGGGGAAUUUUGGACAAUGGGGGCAACCCUGAUCCAGCGACGCCGCGUGGAGGACGAAGGUCUUCGGAUUGUAAACUCCUUUUAGAGGGGAUGAAUGCCGCCGUGAAUAACGGUGGGUGACAGUACUCUCUGAAUAAGCCACGGCUAACUACGUGCCAGCAGCCGCGGUAAUACGUAGGUGGCAAGCGUUACUCGGAAUCACUAGGCGUAAAGCGCAGGUAGGUGGUUUGGUAAGUCUUUUGUGAAAGCUCCUGGCUCAACUGGGAGAGGUCAAAGGAAACUACCAGGCUAGAGUGUGGUAGGGGAUACUGGAAUUCCUGGUGUAGCGGUGAAAUGCGUAGAUAUCAGGAGGAAUACCUAUGGCGAAAGCAGGUAUCUGGGCCAUCACUGACACUGAGCUGCGAAAGCUAGGGGAGCAAACAGGAUUAGAUACCCUAGUAGUCC
rnacentral:rRNA from 1 species